rnacentral:lncRNA from 1 species
UGAGAUCCAGAGAGAUGAUGACUUUGCCCAUAGACCAAACAAAGAAAUACAUGUUUCAGUCCUGUGUCCUCCUGCUAUGUGUGUCCGGAAUUGGUGGGUUCUUGGUCUCACUGACUUCAAGAAUGAAGCUGCGGACCCUCGCGGACCGUGUGUGAAUGCCUGCUCUGUGAGCCCUCAGAAUCUACUGGCUGAAUGAGUGCGUGGAGGAAAUGUGCUCAGAGCUGCUGUGUGUCAUCCUGUGUUUGAAGUGCUCCUGCAGCUAUCAUUCAUCCAGUUAAGAAUUUGAAGAAGUGUGUGCACAAAGCUCACAGGAUAUCGGCCAUGUUAAUGAGUCUGAUGUUGCUAGUAUCACAGGCACCGGAAAAUAUGCACAUUAUGCUGGAGCAUUAGAAUGCAACAGAAAGAGCCCUGGGCUUGGAGUAUGCAGAACUGGUUCUUGUUACAACUCCUCUUACUAGUGGGCUCUGGAAGAAAACACAUUGAAUUCAUGAUCAUGGUUAACCUUUGGAGAGAGAGAGGAGACCAGGAUGAAGGAGCCAGUCGAAGAUCCUGUUCAAGUGUACACUGAGCCAGCAGGUUCACCAGAAAGCUAUUGAGCGUUUGCUGGAACACAUUAUGCAGGGUGAAUUUCUUCUGGAAUGUUGCCAAGGAUUUUUUAUGCUUCUGUGGCAGGCAUUUCUUGAACAUUGUCAUUUAGCCAAGCAAAGAAGAUUUUCUUAAAGGAUAGAAAAUGUUUAAAAAUUUUUGUUUGUUUGAAGAUAGGUUAAAUGGCUAUAUGAUCUCAGGAUAAGACAGAGAAAAUCACUUAUUUCUCUAAGUGAUCUGAUUAGGUUAGUGAUGUUUUGCCUUUAAACAGAUUCAUCAUUAUUCCUAAAGUAUUGCUGUAUUAAUACUGUCUUCUAGAAAGUAUCCACCAGUGCCUACUUUUCUUCGAUAUCAUUAGCUGUUUUUCGAAACUGAAUUUGCUCUUCAGAGAUUUCUCAUAUGUUUGCGUAUAAGGAACUACUGGUAAUAGCCAAGAAAAUUUGGAGGUGCAGAGAACAUGCUGAAACAGAAUUUUUCACUUUCAAUUCUAGAACUAUGCCAUAAAAAAAAAGGAAAAUGUAAAAAUGUCUUUAUAUUAGAGCAGAUAUUUUAAAAGUAUUGCAAAUUCAAUGAUAAAUUCUAAGGUUAAAAUUGGACACAUAAAAAAUACAAUAUAUAAAUAUCUCCCCAGAAAUUAUUAUCUAAUGAAUAGUAAAAGCUGACUACAAACCAUGUCAUUUUAACAAGGGUUUAAAUAGUACCAAGAUUCUCAUCAUAUGCUCUGGGAUACCCAGUGAUGUACAAGGGUUCUCUCUAAACAUGGGGAGGAAAAAUUUCAAAUAUAAAGAUUUGAAUCUUGUCUUUGCCAUUCACUAGCUGUGUGAUCUUGGGUAAGUUACCUGGUUUCUCUGAGCUUCAGUGUCAUCUGUAAAACAGGAAUAAUAAUACCUAGCUCAGAGGCGGGUGUGGUGGCUCACGCCUGUAAUCCCAGCACUUUGGGAGGCCAAGGCAGGUGGAUCACUAGGUCAGGAGUUUGAGACCAGCCUGGCCAAGAUGGUGAAAUCCUGUCUCUACUUAAAAAAAAAAAAAAAUAGCCAGGCAUGGUGGCAGGCACCUGUGAUCCCAGCUACUCAGGAGGCUGAGGCAGGAGAAUCGCUUGAACCCGGGAGGCGGAGGUUGCAGUCAGCUGAGAUCUCGCCACUGCACUCCAGCCUGGGCAAUAGAGUGAGACUCCGCCUCA